GUGCUUAACACAUGCAAGUCGAACGGAAAGGCCCCUUCGGGGGUACUCGAGUGGCGAACGGGUGAGUAACACGUGGGCAAUCUGCCCUGCACUUCGGGAUAAGCCUGGGAAACUGGGUCUAAUACCGGAUAGGACCACUUGGCGCAUGCCUUGUGGUGGAAAGCUUUUGCGGUGUGGGAUGGGCCCGCGGCCUAUCAGCUAGUUGGUGGGGUGAUGGCCUACCAAGGCGACGACGGGUAGCCGGCCUGAGAGGGUGUCCGGCCACACUGGGACUGAGAUACGGCCCAGACUCCUACGGGAGGCAGCAGUGGGGAAUAUUGCACAAUGGGCGCAAGCCUGAUGCAGCGACGCCGCGUGGGGGAUGACGGCCUUCGGGUUGUAAACCUCUUUCACCAUCGACGAAGGCUCACUUUGUGGGUUGACGGUAGGUGGAGAAGAAGCACCGGCCAACUACGUGCCAGCAGCCGCGGUAAUACGUAGGGUGCGAGCGUUGUCCGGAAUUACUGGGCGUAAAGAGCUCGUAGGUGGUUUGUCGCGUUGUUCGUGAAAUC
rnacentral:rRNA from 1 species